rnacentral:tmRNA from 1 species
GGGGGUGACCUGGCUUCGACGUGGGUCGCGAACCUCCGGGUGCAUGCCGAGGCGCAGACGACCUCGUAAAUCCAGCUGCAAACUCUAUAGUUGCCAACGACGACAACUACGCACUCGCCGCUUAAUACCCGGUAGGGUGCCCUCUGGCCGGAACGUGCCCGUGCGUCCGGGUCCCAGGGGUCGAUAUCACGGGACCGCGGAAGGCGCUCGUCCGGGGCACCGACCGUCAAAUCCUUACCGGACUGGCCGUGAGUCUUCCCUGCCCGUCGGGUAGCUCACGGUAAGAUCAAAGACGGAAUAAGCAUGUAGAGCCAGGAGCAGAGGGCUUGCGGACGCGAGUUCGAUUCUCGCCACCUCCACCA